rnacentral:rRNA from 1 species
CCUACGGGAGGCAGCAGUGGGGAAUAUUGCACAAUGGGCGAAAGCCUGAUGCAGCAACGCCGCGUGAGCGAUGAAGGCCUUCGGGUCGGAAAGCUCCUUCCGCAAGGAAGAUAAUGACGGUACGUGAGGAGGAAGCCCCGGCUAACUACGUGCCAGCAGCCGCGGUCAUCCGUAGGGGGCUAGCGGUAUCCCGAAGUACUGGGCGUAAAGGGUGCGUAGGUGGGUUCUUAAGUCAGAGGUUAGAGGCUACGGCUCAACCGUAGUGAGCCGUUGAAACUGGCGAACUUGAGUGCAGGAGAGGAGAGCGGAAUUCGUGGUGUAGCGGGGAAAUGCGUAGAUAGUAGGAGGAACACCGGUUGCGAAGGCGGCUCUCUGGACUGUAACUGACACUGAGGCACGAAAGCGUGGGGAGCAAACAGGAUUAGAUACCCGAGUAGUC